rnacentral:rRNA from 1 species
AACGAACGCUGGCGGCAUGCCUAACACAUGCAAGUCGAACGAUCCCUUCGGGGAUAGUGGCGCACGGGUGCGUAACGCGUGGGAACCUGCCCUUAGGUUCGGAAUAACUCAGAGAAAUUUGAGCUAAUACCGGAUAAUGUCUUCGGACCAAAGAUUCAUCGCCUUUGGAUGGGCCCGCGUUGGAUUAGCUAGUUGGUGGGGUAAAGGCCUACCAAGGCGACGAUCCAUAGCUGGUCUGAGAGGAUGAUCAGCCACACUGGGACUGAGACACGGCCCAGACUCCUACGGGAGGCAGCAGUGGGGAAUAUUGGACAAUGGGCGAAAGCCUGAUCCAGCAAUGCCGCGUGAGUGAUGAAGGCCUUAGGGUUGUAAAGCUCUUUUACCCGGGAUGAUAAUGACAGUACCGGGAGAAUAAGCCCCGGCUAACUCCGUG